UUUUACAAUGAAGAGUUUGAUCCUGGCUCAGGAUGAACGCUAGCUACAGGCUUAACACAUGCAAGUCGAGGGGCAUCAGGAAGAAAGCUUGCUUUCUUUGCUGGCGACCGGCGCACGGGUGAGUAACACGUAUCCAACCUGCCCUUUACUCGGGGAUAGCCUUUCGAAAGAAAGAUUAAUACCCGAUAGCAUAAUGAUUCCGCAUGGUUUCAUUAUUAAAGGAUUCCGGUAAAGGAUGGGGAUGCGUUCCAUUAGGUUGUUGGUGAGGUAACGGCUCACCAAGCCUUCGAUGGAUAGGGGUUCUGAGAGGAAGGUCCCCCACAUUGGAACUGAGACACGGUCCAAACUCCUACGGGAGGCAGCAGUGAGGAAUAUUGGUCAAUGGGCGCUAGCCUGAACCAGCCAAGUAGCGUGAAGGAUGAAGGCUCUAUGGGUCGUAAACUUCUUUUAUAUAAGAAUAAAGUGCAGUAUGUAUACUGUUUUGUAUGUAUUAUAUGAAUAAGGAUCGGCUAACUCCGUGCCAGCAGCCGCGGUAAUACGGAGGAUCCGAGCGUUAUCCGGAUUUAUUGGGUUUAAAGGGAGCGUAGGUGGACUGGUAAGUCAGUUGUGAAAGUUUGCGGCUCAACCGUAAAAUUGCAGUUGAUACUGUCAGUCUUGAGUACAGUAGAGGUGGGCGGAAUUCGUGGUGUAGCGGUGAAAUGCUUAGAUAUCACGAAGAACUCCGAUUGCGAAGGCAGCUCACUGGACUGCAACUGACACUGAUGCUCGAAAGUGUGGGUAUCAAACAGGAUUAGAUACCCUGGUAGUCCACACAGUAAACGAUGAAUACUCGCUGUUUGCGAUAUACAGUAAGCGGCCAAGCGAAAGCAUUAAGUAUUCCACCUGGGGAGUACGCCGGCAACGGUGAAACUCAAAGGAAUUGACGGGGGCCCGCACAAGCGGAGGAACAUGUGGUUUAAUUCGAUGAUACGCGAGGAACCUUACCCGGGCUUAAAUUGCAGUGGAAUGAUGUGGAAACAUGUCAGUGAGCAAUCACCGCUGUGAAGGUGCUGCAUGGUUGUCGUCAGCUCGUGCCGUGAGGUGUCGGCUUAAGUGCCAUAACGAGCGCAACCCUUAUCUUUAGUUACUAACAGGUCAUGCUGAGGACUCUAGAGAGACUGCCGUCGUAAGAUGUGAGGAAGGUGGGGAUGACGUCAAAUCAGCACGGCCCUUACGUCCGGGGCUACACACGUGUUACAAUGGGGGGUACAGAAGGCAGCUAGCGGGUGACCGUAUGCUAAUCCCAAAAUCCUCUCUCAGUUCGGAUCGAAGUCUGCAACCCGACUUCGUGAAGCUGGAUUCGCUAGUAAUCGCGCAUCAGCCACGGCGCGGUGAAUACGUUCCCGGGCCUUGUACACACCGCCCGUCAAGCCAUGGGAGCCGGGGGUACCUGAAGUACGUAACCGCAAGGAUCGUCCUAGGGUAAAACUGGUGACUGGGGCUAAGUCGUAACAAGGUAGCCGUACCGGAAGGUGCGGCUGGAACACCUCCUUUCUGGAGC
rnacentral:rRNA from 1 species